AGCGGAAACGAAUCUAGCUUGCUAGAAGGCGUCGAGCGGCGGACGGGUGAGUAACGCGUAGGAAUCUACCCGGUAGUUGGGGGUAGCCCGGAGAAAUCCGGAUUAAUACCGAAUAAUCUCUACGGAGGAAAGGGGGCUUCGGCUCUCGCUACUGGAUGAGCCUGCGUUGGAUUAGCUAGUUGGUGAGGUAAAUGCUCACCAAGGCGACGAUCCAUAGCUGGUCUGAGAGGAUGAUCAGCCACACUGGGACUGAGACACGGCCCAGACUCC
rnacentral:rRNA from 1 species